rnacentral:rRNA from 1 species
GACGAACGCUGGCGGCGUGCCUAAUACAUGCAAGUCGAACGCAGUGGGGACGGGUGAGUAACCCGUGGGUAACCUCCCAUCAGAGGGGAUAACACUUGGAAACCGGUGCUAAACCGCUACUGAUGGAUGGACCCGCGGUUCAUUAGCUCGUUGGUGAGGUACCGGAUCACAAAGGCCACGAGGCAUAGCAGACAGGCGAGGGUGAUCGGCAACACGGGGAAUGCGAAACGGCCCAGACUCCUACGGGAGGCAGCAGUAGGGAAUCUUGGGCAAUGGACGAAAGUCUGACGGAGCAAUGCCGCGUGAGUGAAGAAGGUUUUCGGAUCGUAAAGCUCUGUUGUUAGAGAAGCGGGAUCUAACCAGAAAGCCACGGCUAACUACGUGCCAGCAGCCGCGGUAAUAC